GCGCGAGCUGGGCAUCGGAGAGCCCACCCGGCUGUAAACCGGGCGCUUCGGCUGUGGCGGUUCGACUCCGUCCUCGCGCACGA
rnacentral:tRNA from 1 species